UACGUAGGGUGCGAGCGUUAAUCGGAAUUACUGGGCGUAAAGCGUGCGCAGGCGGCGACAUAAGACAGAUGUGAAAUCCCCGGCGUCAACCUACGGACGUAGCGUUUGUUGACUGUGUUGUCUAGAGUGUAGCAGAGGGGGGUGGGAAUUACCACCGUGUAGCAGUGAAAUAGCGUAGAGAUGUGGAGGAACACCGAUGGCGAAGGCAGCCCCCU
rnacentral:rRNA from 1 species